rnacentral:rRNA from 1 species
AGAGUUUGAUCCUGGCUCAGGGUGAACGCUGGCGGCGCGCUUAAUGCAUGCAAGUCGAGCGUGAUCGUGGCUUCGGCCACAAUGAUAAAGCGGCAGACGGCUGAGUAACGCGUGAGUAAUCUGCCCUCCGGUGGGGUAUAACCUCGGGAAACUGAGGAUAAUCCCGCAUACGACCUGCAUCCCUUGGGGUGCAGAUGAAAGGCUUCGGUCGCCGGAGGAGGAGCUCGCGUCCUAUCAGGUUGUUGGUGGGGUAAUGGCCUACCAAGCCGAUGACGGGUAGCUGGUCUGAGAGGAUGACCAGCCAGAGGGGGACUGAGAACGGCCCCCACUCCUACGGGAGGCAGCAGCAGGGAAUCUUGGGCAAUGGGCGAAAGCCUGACCCAGCGACGUCGCGUGGGGGACGAAGGCCUUCGGGUUGUAAACCCCUUUUCCGAGGGAAGAGAAAGGACGGUACCUCGGGAAUAAGCCCCGGCUAACUACGCGCCAGCAGCCGCGGUAAUACGUAGGGGGCAAGCGUUACCCGGAAUCACUGGGCGUAAAGUGCGCGUAGGCGGUUGGAUAAGUCUCUUGUGAAAGCUCCCGGCUCAACUGGGAGAGGUCAAGGGAUACUAUUUGACUAGAGGACAGCAGAGGUAAGCAGAAUUCCCGGUGUAGCGGUGGAAUGCGUAGAUAUCGGGAGGAACACCAGUGGCGAAAGCGGCUUACUGGGCUGUAUCUGACGCUGAGGCGCGAGAGCGUGGGGAGCAAACUGGAUUAGAUACCCAGGUAGUCCACGCCCUAAACGAUGGAUACUAGGUAUGGGGGGUAUUGACCCCCUCCGUGCCGUAGCUAACGCGUUAAGUAUCCCGCCUGGGGACUACGGCCGCAAGGCUAAAACUCAAAGGAAUUGACGGGGGCCCGCACAAGCGGUGGAGCGUGUGGUUUAAUUCGAUGCUAAGCGAAGAACCUUACCUGGGCUUGACAUGUUGGUAGUAGGAACCCGAAAGGGUAACGACCUCGGGGUAACUCGGGGAGCCUUCACAGGUGCUGCAUGGCUGUCGUCAGCUCGUG